AGAGAACAAGUGAAAUUUUAUAAUCAUGUAAAAAUAACUUGUUGAACAAUUGACACUUUGUUCUGACUUUCAAGAUGUCAAGGGGAACAUUGGUGCUAGUGGUGUUUUUAACGGCACGUUUGUUAGGAAUGACAGCUGCUUCUGAUGACACUUAUGAAGAUCUUAUUAAAAGAUACACUUAGAGAAAAAGGUUGACCAACGGCUCUCAAUGAAAAAACUCUCAUUUCAAAGGCAACUAACUCGACAAGUACAGAUAUUGGAAUCUCGUGUUGCCGUGUUGAUGCUGCAACAAACAAGGUUAAAUAGGGAAAAUAAAUUGUUAGAGACACGUAUCAUUCAAUUAGAGAGGCAAGUUAUGAAUAAUGAAAGAACCAUUGAAACACAACGAGCAGAGAUCGAACGUUUACAGAAUGACAACAAAAAACGUACGUUGAAAAAACAACUGACGAUAAGGUAUGGCAAGACCAACCAUUGGAAAAACAAAACAGCACACGUGCAAUAAAGAAAUAUUCUGGUGGGAGAAUAAGAAGAUCUUUUCCAGAGAUUCCAUUUGCAUUUUCGGCUAUUCUUGACCAUAGUGUUGACCACGCUGGAAUUGACCAGACUGUGAUAUUUAACAAGGUCCUUCUUAAUGAUGGGAAUGCCUACAACAGCCAU